rfam:Triticum aestivum genome assembly, contig: Triticum_aestivum_CS42_TGACv1_scaffold_271823_3DS
AAGCUACUUCUUCCGUCCAGAAUUACUUUUCGUCGAAAUGGAUAAAAGUAGAUGUAUCUAGAACCAAAAUACGUCUAGAUACACCCAUUUCUUUGACAAGUAUUUCUGGACGGAGGGAGUAUCUU